GUCGACACAGAAAGGCAGUUUCCCUACGUUCCUUGAGCAGUCAUCAUAUUAGUUUGUAUCGCGCACUCUGCUCAAUCACUAUUUUAACUCAUCGUGUAUCAGUCGAGUUGUAAUCGAAAAUUGCGAAUCGUCAAGUGUAAUCGCGAGUUCUACGUAAAGUGUCGAAAGUGAGAAUAAAAUCAAGAGAACAUGGUAGCCAGCAAAAGAAUAAAAAUUGAAAAUUUACAGGAAGUACCAAAGAAAAAGAAAGGAAAACGAAACAGAAAGAAACCAAUGAAAAAUUUAGAAAAGGAAUAUUCGAAGAAAAUGUUUGUUGAACAAACGGGAAGAGAAAAGAUAAAAUUGGAAGAUACCAACUCUUCCGAAAAAGAUUUGAAAUAUGUACUUAGCAAUGUUAAUAAUAGGGAUAACGAGCAAAAGCCAAGAAUAUCUGCGUGUGGGUUUUUCUGGGAUAGCAACCCUAAUGUAACUCUCCUUCAGGAAGAGUCAUCUAGUGAUAGUGAAGAUGAAGUAGAAGAAAAACCAAAGCUGAAGAAUAAAAAAUUAAGUGCCGUUGAACGUCGAGAACAAGAAAGGCAGAAGGAACGUGAAAUACGCCAAAGAGAAGAAGCGCUCGCCAAGAAUGAGUUGCCAAAUUCAGUAGAUCAGUUCGACAGAUUAGUUUUAUCUAGUCCAGACAGUUCAAUAGUAUGGUUACAAUAUAUGGCAUACCAUUUACAAGCAACAGAAAUAGAGAAAGCAAGAGCAGUUGCAAGAAGAGCGGUAAAAACAAUUAAUUUCAGGGAAGAGAAAGAAAGAUUAAACGUUUGGAAGGCUUGGUUAAAUUUAGAAUCUAAAUUUGGGAUUCCUGAAUCAUUAAAUGAUAUUUUUCAAGAGGCAGUGAGGUCUAACGACUCACUGAAAAUAUACAGUCACAUGUUGACUGUUCAUGUUGAUGCUGGCAGGCAGAUGGAGUUGCAAAAAACAAUUGAUACUAUGAUUGGGAAAUUUAAACAUAUUCCAGAGAUAUGGUUUAAUUGUGGUGAAUGUUUGUUAAGAAUGGGUUUGAAGGACAAAUCCAGGCAUGUUAUGCAGAGAGCACUGCAAUCUUUGCCAGCAUCUGAACAUGUAAAUCUAAUGGCAAGGUUUGCGAUUAUGGAGAACAAAUUUGGGGAUAAAGAGAGAGCACAAACUCUGUUUGAGCAAAUUUUAAGUUCUUAUCCGAAACGGGUGGAUAUAUGGUCUUGUUAUAUUGAUUCCCUAGUUAAAUCUAAUGAUAUUGAUAUAGCAAGGAAAGUUCUAGAGAGAGCAGUUGUUCAGACAUUACCACCUAGAAAGAUGAAGAUCCUGUUUAAAAAGUUUAUCAAUUUUGAAGAACAGCAUGGUACUCAGGAAGACGUAACUCGUGUUCAACAAUUGGCUGUAGAAUAUGUAGAGAAGCAGUGUACAAAAUGAUCAAAAAUAAUAAAAUAUUUUGACAAUUAUAUUAUUACAUCAGAUUGUGUUAGCGAAGUCAGCGCUAGUACUCCUGCCCAUAGCAAGUAAGCCGAAUCGUGGAGUUUAUUUACCAGUCGCAUUAAUACGAUAGUCAAAGCUACUCCUAUGGUUAUAUGAACGAAUUAGAUUAUCAAGAAUACGACAGCUUGAAAAUUUAAAAUAAUGUUGCGCCUUAGAAAGGUGCGACAAGUUUUUGAAUCCGUGCUGUUGUCGCGAAAGUAUUUAAACGUGGUUCAUGGGCGACAUUGUUUAUGGAAAAAACCAGCUUUUCCGUUAGGCAACUAUUUCGUUUUUCCCAUUAGGAUUAAAGGUUUCUGUAGGUUUAUAAGACUCGGUUUAUGGUGAGACCUUAGGUUAUUGAGGGUCCUUCUAUGGGUGCUUAGGCCUUGACGGUCAGACAAUGAAGGACGGUCAAACAAUGUCGCGCGGACCUUUUCACGCGACGUAACAAUUUUGUAAUUGGAGCUGGAUCAGAAGUCAAUUAAUCUACUUCUUUGUUGAUGUCGAAACGUUGUCCUUGUGACAUCAAUCACAUCUCAACCUACAUCGGAGAUAAGACAUCGACGCCCGAGCUUCGGACUCCUUUGGACACAUCAACAUCUUAUCAUCAUAACCUACACCAAGGCUGUGACGCACCCUAGUCUACAUCAUAAAUAGGACAUCGACCCCCCACCGUCGGACACUUUUCCAUAUCAUAACCUACACCGAGCCCCUCAACAUUCUCAAACCAAAACGUAUAUAAGCCGAGAUUUUACCGUCAUUCUAUUCUUGUAAAUGCUAAAUUGAUAAUAAAGUUCGAUAAAAUAAGAUUAA